rnacentral:rRNA from 1 species
AUACGUAGGUGGCAAGCGUUGUCCGGAAUUAUUGGGCGUAAAGCGCGCGCAGGUGGUUCCUUAAGUCUGAUGUGAAAGCCCCCGGCUCAACCGGGGAGGGUCAUUGGAAACUGGGGAACUUGAGUGCAGAAGAGGAUAGUGGAAUUCCAAGUGUAGCGGUGAAAUGCGUAGAGAUUUGGAGGAACACCAGUGGCGAAGGCGACUGUCUGGUCUGGAACUGACACUGAGGCGCGAAAGCGUGGGGAGCAAACAGGAUUAGAUACCCUGGUAGUCCACGCCGUAAACGAUGAGUGCUAAGUGUUGGGGGGUUUCCGCCCCUCAGUGCUGCAGCUAACGCAUUAAGCACUCCGCCUGGGGAGUACGGUCGCAAGACUGAAACUCAAAUGAAUUGACGGGG